UUGAAGUGAAUAUAUAGGGUUUUUCGAUUUGCAUUUACCAUAGAAAUGAAUAUAUAGGAUUUUUAAUAUGCAAAUCUUGUAUUUAGUAUUUACAAUAGAAAUGGGAAAGUGGGAAGUGGCCCAUGUAAAUCACAAAGCGUAGCCCAACAAAUACUAAACGAUGCGUUUGGCAAUCGUCAUGUCCCUUGUUUUUUAAUGGUUAUUUCCGAGAGAGAGAUGGAGGAAGACGCUAGCUUUGACGGUGGCGGAGAGUUCGUUGGAGGCGAUUUAACCGGCAGUAUAAAAUGGUGUUGGUACAAUAUGUUGAGACGACACAAUCUGGUACAUCUUCUUCGAAGUGAUCCUUCACUUGUAGACUGCGAUUUUCUGUUUUUCUUCAACGAUUGCUAACAGGGAAAACCUAACCGUUGAGCUAAUCCACAGUGACUCUCCUCAUUCUCCACUUUACAACCCUCACCACACCGUCUCUGACGGUCUCAACGCUGCUUUCCUCCGCUCAAUCUCACGCUCUCGCCGUUUCAAUACCAAAACCGACCUCCAAUCCGGGUUGAUCUCAAAUGGCGGCGAAUACUUCAUGAGUAUCUCAAUCGGUACUCCUCCGUCGAAAGUCCUUGCCAUCGCUGACACGGGAAGUGACCUAACUUGGGUUCAAUGCAAGCCAUGUCAACAAUGUUACAAACAAAACAGUCCACUCUUCGACAAGAAGAUAUCUAAGGGAAAGGAAGGAGAAAAACCCUAACGAAAUUCCUACCAUUUUUGUUUUCAUUUGCAGUUGCGAAUUGGGAUCGGCUAAAGCAGCUCCGAUUGCACAACAAUGGCUUCUCGUAUCAUCAUCAAUCAUUCCUAAAAGGUUCUUAAACUUGGACGCACCAUGCGGCUUUGUAAGGUCUCAAAUGUCAAAUCUCUGAGAUUGGAAAAUGAAGCAACCAUUGAUUUCUGGAAAUGCUUCUCUUAUCGUGUUAAAAGGUAAACUUUGUGCUGAUGUGUAAUUCUCUGUUAGCGAAAACAUAUUUAUAGAUGUCAUAGUCUCUUGGCGUUUAGGUUAGAGAAUUUAAGAAAUUCGUGUUGAGAAAGUAUAGAAUAUCUUUACAAAUCUUUGAUUCAAUAAUAUAUAGAAUAUGCUUUAUAGAUAUUUCGUCAAAAUUAAGAACAAAUAGUUUGAUUUAUUAGACAUUUCCAGUUGAUGUUGUGUAUAUUGAAUGUAGACAUUAUAUUGUUCAAUUUUAUUAGGAAACUGAAUAGAUUUGUAGAAUAUAUUUAGCAUAUAAAUGGGAUACAAUGAGAUAAACAAAUCGUCAGAAAUUAAAGUAUAUUGUUAGGAUUCCAUGUUUAGUUGUUAUAAUCGUAUAAUUAAUGUUGUAAUUAUUGUUGUUUAUUUUUGUAGAAAAAAUCUUACCAAAAUAGAUUAUACAUAAUAAUAGUCAAAAUUUGUGGAAGAGAUUCCAUUGUUAGGAUUUGUUAGAUUAGGAAUGUAAUUAAGAGGAUAUUUAGUCGAAUUAGUUGAUUUUUUUUUUGGAAAGUCGCAUUUAAAAGAAUCCGAGAGUUUUGAUUGGCCA